CUUCUCUUCUGAAUUAAAGUUUAGGGGAUCUUUUUGGUCACCGUAACUUAGUUAUAAAUAGAAAGAAAACUAGAAAUGGAAUGGGCAUGUUUAUUUUAAGGAACUGCUCUUGUUCCAUUAGUAAGUGGCUUUAAAGAGUACAAAGACUCCCUAGCCUUAGGCGUGGGGCUUUAUUCCACAGAGCAGAAGACUUUCACAUGGAUUUGGUGAUUCCCUCACAUCUUUGGGUUUUAAAGCAAUCAAGUGGGAUUGAUCAGAAACAAUAGACAUAAGGCAACAGUUGCAAAUAUAAUUUAUACAGGAUACCCAACUCGAGUUGUGGUAUGUUCUCACUUAAUGUUUUACUCCCCUCUAGUGGAUUUUUAUAUAGCACAUGAUACCCUGAGUAUGGUAUAGGAUAGCAGAUUUUAGGGGAAAAAAUGGUUUUGCAGUAUGUUUAAAGCAUGUUUAUGUUUUGUAGAAUUUCUGUACAAGUCUAUAUAAUUUUGGAGAUUAAAAAAAAGGUUGACUGGGCGCGGUGGCUCACACCUGUAAUCCCAGCACUUUGGGAGGCCAAGGUGGGCAGAUCACAAGGUCAGGAGUUUGAGACCAGCCUGGCCAAUAUGGUGAAACCCCGUCUCUACUAAAAAUACAAAAAUUAGCCGGGCAUGGUGGUACGUGCCUGUAGUCCCAGCUACUGGGGAGGCUGAAGCAGGAGAAUAACUUGAACCCAGUUGGCAGAGGUUGCAGUGAGUCAAGAUUGUGCCACUGCACUCCAUCCAGCAGAGUGACAGAGCAAGAUUCCAUCUUAAAAAAAAAAAAAAAAAAAAAAAAAAAAGGUUAAAGGCCUGUUAGUUCACUUUUCCCAUUUUGCAGGUGAAGAAGCUAAGUCUCAGAAAGAUAACUCACCCAGGAUGACACAAGUAUAAACUUGAUUCCCAUGGCAGUAGAAAGCUUACAUUUACCCACUUAGAUGAUCAUCAGUGGAGGAGAGACUUAUGCCUGGAGGAACUUGGAAAUCAAAUUCCAUCUUCCACCAUUGUGGUUAGAACAUGAGACUUAUUGCUCAAAGAGGGGAGUAUAUGGCUUGGAGCUGCCAUCCAAUAUGAAGAAAGAAUCUUUCCUUUAUUGGAGAAAGAAGCCAGUGAAUAAAGAGGAGGUUGCGGGGAAAGCAAAGGCCAGAUAAAAGCGUUUAAUCCAAAUCCCUCCCUUUGAGGUGAAACCCUGGAAGGUAGUUUGAGUUAGAAGUAAUAGAAAUGUCCAGAAAUGUUGGAAGAGGGGACUUGCAGGGCACUGGAUUUGGCCUUUACUUCCUGGGCAGAAGCCUUAGAAAAGGCUUGUGUUGGGAUGCUGCUGUCCAACAUGUCACUGAGUGUAAGAUUCUGAGAGAGAGAGAGGGCACAGCAAGUCUUGCAUGCUGCUGGAGUACAAGUAAAGCAUGCAGUUUCCAGAUUCCCCUGUAGGUGCAGAGCAGCCCAGAAAACUGGUGGGCAGGACAAGGCCUUUCUGGAUGUCCAACAGCCCUGCUUUCUUCUGAUCCAUAGUCCCUCUGCUCAGAUCCUUUUCCCAGUGUGAAUUCCCUCCUUACAUCUCCCUACCCAGGGCCGGCCUGUAAUCCCAGCACUUUGGGAGGCCGAGACGGGCGGAUCACGAGGUCAGGAGAUCGAGACCAUCCUGGCUAACACAGUGAAACCCCGUCUCUACUAAAAAAUACCAAAAAAAAACUAGCCGGGCGAGGUGGCGGGCGCCUGUAGUCCCAGCUACUCGGGAGGCUGAGGCAGGAGAAUGGCGUAAACCCGGGAGGCGGAGCUUGCAGUGAGCCGAGAUCCGGCCACUGCGCUCCAGCCUGGGCGACAGAGCAAGACUCUGUCUCAAAAAAAAAAAAAAAAAAAAAA
ensembl:lncRNA